rnacentral:rRNA from 1 species
AAGGCUUCGGCCUUAGUGGCGCACGGGUGCGUAACGCGUGGGAAUCUGCCCCUGGGUUCGGAAUAACAGCGAGAAAUUGCUGCUAAUACCGGAUGAUGACGAAAGUCCAAAGAUUUAUCGCCCAGGGAUGAGCCCGCGUAGGAUUAGCUAGUUGGUGGGGUAAAGGCUCACCAAGGCGACGAUCCUUAGCUGGUCUGAGAGGAUGAUCAGCCACACUGGGACUGAGACACGGCCCAGACUCCAACGGGAGGCAGCAGUGGGGAAUAUUGGACAAUGGGCGCAAGCCUGAUCCAGCAAUGCCGCGUGAGUGAUGAAGGCCUUAGGGUUGUAAAGCUCUUUUACCCGGGAUGAUAAUGACAGUACCGGGAGAAUAAGCUCCGGCUAACUCCGUGCCAGCAGCCGCGGUAAUACGGAGGGAGCUAGCGUUAUUCGGAAUUACUGGGCGUAAAGCGCACGUAGGCGGCUUUGUAAGUUAGAGGUGAAAGCCUGGAGCUCAACUCCAGAAUUGCCUUUAAGACUGCAUCGCUUGAAUCCAGGAGAGGUGAGUGGAAUUCCGAGUGUAGAGGUGAAAUUCGUAGAUAUUCGGAAGAACACCAGUGGCGAAGGCGGCUCACUGGACUGGUAUUGACGCUGAGGUGCGAAAGCGUGGG